rnacentral:rRNA from 1 species
UACGGAGGGUGCAAGCGUUAUCCGGAUUCACUGGGUUUAAAGGGUGUGUAGGCGGGCUGUUAAGUCAGUGGUGAAAUCUCCAGGCUCAACCUGGAAACUGCCAUUGAUACUAUCAGUCUUGAAUUUUGUUGAGGUAGGCGGAAUAUAUCAUGUAGCGGUGAAAUGCUUAGAUAUGAUAUAGAACACCGAUUGCGAAGGCAGCUUACUAAGCAAAUAUUGACGCUGAGGCACGAAAGCGUGGGGAUCAAACAGG